CGACUGUUUACCAAAAACAUAGCCAAUAGAAAAAAUUAUUAAUGGUGAUGCCUGCUCAAUAGUUAAACAUAAACCAUAAAAAAUAAUUAAAUAGCUGCGGUAACACCUGACCGUGCAAAGGUAGCAUAAUAAAUCGCCUACUAAUUAUAGGAUAGAAUGAAGGUAAUACGAAGACCCAACUGUCUCAAAACGAAAAAAUAUAAAAUAGAAUGUGUGUGCAAAUCCACACCAAGACGGCAAGACGAUAAGACCCUAAGAACUUUACCAAAAACUUAAAAACAAAAAGUUAAGUCGUAAGUUUCGUUGGGGCAACGAUCUUUCAAAAAGUAACUAAGAUUAACCAAUCACACCAAAACACAAAUUAUAAACAAGACGAUAAGACCCAUUAUAAAAAAAAAGAUAAUGAUAACAUAAUAAAAGUUCCCUAGGGAUAACAGCGUUAUAUCGUUUCCAGAGAAUCAUCCAAACGAUGUUUGCGACCUCGAUGUUGAAUUAC
rnacentral:rRNA from 1 species